rfam:Schistosoma rodhaini strain Burundi genome assembly, scaffold: SROB_scaffold0001478
AUCCAGCUGACGAGUCCCAAAUAGGAUGAAACGCACGCCCUGGAU